rfam:Rhodospirillum rubrum ATCC 11170, complete genome.
CUCGCACCCUAUGCCCCGCCAUUGAGGGGACUGAAAC